rnacentral:tRNA from 1 species
GCGGGUGUAGUUCAAUGGUAGAACUCCAGCUUCCCAAGCUGAUAACGCGGGUUCGAUUCCCGUCACCCGCU